rnacentral:rRNA from 1 species
AAAUUGAAGAGUUUGAUCAUGGCUCAGAUUGAACGCUGGCGGCAGGCCUAACACAUGCAAGUCGAACGGUAACAGGAAGAAGCUUGCUUCUUUGCUGACGAGUGGCGGACGGGUGAGUAAUGUCUGGGAAACUGCCUGAUGGAGGGGGAUAACUACUGGAAACGGUAGCUAAUACCGCAUAAUGUCGCAAGACCAAAGAG